rnacentral:lncRNA from 1 species
UGAUAAAAAUCAAAACGGACCCGUUAAACAAGCUAUUAAUUAUUUCACCACAACACAUGUAAUUCGGUAAUUCAACAAAGUUUCAACAAUUUACUAACAAAUACAAUUUUAUAAAAUCUAAAACAAAUCAUAAUAAGUACAAAAUUAUACAUUCAUACUACAAAGUUUGUUUGAGAAAUAACAAUAAAACUUGUACAUACAUUAACAAAAUACAUAUACUAAAAAAACAAUAAAAUUGACAUUUAAAUGUUAAAUUUUUUUUUAAAAAAUUUACUUACAAAAAAUGAUAAAAUCCACACAAAAAAACACGGAUGUUGUGACCACGAAACUUAAAGAAAUAUGACUUGUGUUGAGAAGAGGGGGAUAUUUUUAGGGGGGUUGUUUGCAAUUUGGGAGGGAAGAGUUGGGAUGGGAAAGAAGAAGGCAAAAUAGAGAAGGAGAGGGUCGGUAGAGUGGUGAUAUAUUAACUUUUGCAGAUGAAAUCACUGACGGACUUAUUCUGUCGGUGAUUGCGUCGGUAAUUCUGACGGUGAAUUAGUCACGUCACUAUACGGAGAUCCCGGUUUGAAUCCUUCGGUGAGUCCAUCGGUAAAAUCACCCGCAAAAACUUUCACAUCAUCGAACCGUUUUUUUUUUUCAAAUUCUAUAUAUUCCGUCUGUAAUUCUAUCGGUAUAUACCAACUGAAUUACAAAUGGAAUAUUGGCUAUCAGUAAUUAUCACCAUAAUUUAUUGAUAUAAUUAUUCCGUCGAUAAUUUUGUUGGUUUUAGAUGAAUUUCCGGUAAUGAAAUUUCUACGUUGGCUACUCUUCUACUAGUGAAGUGCCUCCUCGGAGAGACCCAACGUUUCAGUACAGCUGAGAUAAUUCCCCAUAUGUUUUUAUGCCUCAACAAAUUAGUGCGACAAACGUAUAUGACGAAGGCAAUUGUUGUUGUGCAUGCAGUUAUAAAGAAAAGUUCUCGAAAUCCACUGGGACCAAGGCUGGAACUAUCACUUGGCAUCUUCGGGCAUUUUUGUGGGGUAAUCCAUGUCUUCUCUAGUUCUUGUAGCGUUCCAUUUUCUGAUAUUUUCAGUAGAGCCUCAUUCACGCUAGCAAGUAAUGGAGAUCCGCACAAAUUAACCAUGUUAAAAUUUAAUCACUCCUUAAGUUCAUGUUUAAUUCAUAUAUAUAUAUAUAUAUAUAUUUGGACGUGUUAGUAUUUCGAAGCAACUAAGCAUAAGAUUAGGCAUGUGUCUUUUACCAUAACCUACUAAUUUAUUCAACUUAUAUUUAAUGAUUCAUUGAACCUAUCUAAGUGAUCAUCUCUCUCCUGCUAAUUUUGUUCAAAAUCGAAGACUUCAUUGUUAGUUUCCUUUGGUCAAACUCAACACCUUGUAACUUGUGGUCCAACCUACCUACAAAGUCAACAAAAAGCCUCUGGCCCUAAUACAAAUUUUACAAGAACUAAUCCUAUAUAUAUGCAUAUUUUGGUUUGGCCCGUAAGAAUGUAAAUUAGCAAUAGUAAUUUCAGGAAAAUUAUUAAUGAACGGAAAAGGUGAAUAAAUAUGAGCGCGAGAUCUUACAAAUCCAAACCCUCCAAUUUUGUACGUUGGUCCAAUUUGGAUGAAGCUAUUGCAGUAUUUUGCAAGGAAUAUCUUGGCACUGGGAGUUCCAAGAAAGGCAGCAGAAAUUUUCUUGUCCUCGAAGCCUUUAACAUAACUUUCUGCUGACUGAAAAUGCUGCAUGUUUUGGUUCUUGAAUUUUAAAACUUCCGCCAAAUAUCUUUCCAUAUAGGUUCCUGUACCAACCAUUGCAUUGCUAUUUAAUAGUUCUUCAACACUUGGUAUAGUGGGUUCAAGCCUCUGUACAGUUAGCAUGCUUGAGAGGUUGGCUGUGUACGUCUGGAUGAUGAUUAGAGCCACAAACAGCCACACCACCCCUGACAUCCUUGAUAGAUUGCUAUGAAGCUUUGGCCCUAAAUCAAAUUGUUGUCAGCAAGAUAUUGUUAAUUAAUUGCUUGUUAAAGGAUUAGUUAUAUAUUUUCAAAAGUUCAAAUCAAAGAAGGAAACUGAUUGGAACUAAAAACUUUAAUUUACCAUUCAAGGAGAAAAGAGUGUUGAAGGAUAACCAAAUCAUGAUCCCAAUUUGAUUUGGGAUGGAGCCUUGUAGUUCAUCACAAUGCUUUCGCUCUAUCCACCAAACAACAAAACCAUUGUAGACUGUAAUCACUGAGAUUAAAACCCACAUGGUUGCGGUGAAUGGUUUAAUGAAUGACCAUGCUUUACUGCUCGAACGGACCGGGACGAUCAACACCAAUCCUGUUUCAGUAUAUGGAUAGGUGAAUUCUGCAUAUUGGUGUCUGCUUGCAACUAUUUCCACAUCACCAACAACUGCGUCAAAAUUCUGGUGUUGUGGGCAAAAAGUCCAAGUACAACAAAGUAUGAUUAGUCUAAAGUAUUUUUUUUUUUUUUCAGAAUAUGCGUGCAUGCAUGAUCAAUUAAUGAAAAUUUAAUUAAUCAUUUUACUCUAUCAAGCUGCCUCUUACCUUUAGAUGAAGUUGCUCUAAAAGUUCAUUGUAACUUCCAUUGAAGUAUUGGAACUCGUAUUGCGGACAGAAUGGCAUGCUUGCUGUAGUUGCUUUGAAGACCUCGUUUGCAAAACCAGAGAAGUUCGUUCCCAAGCGAUCAUCACUUUCCACUUUCACAUAUUCUUCGUAACCUGACAAGGAAGCCACUCCGAUUCGAAAUAGCUUAGCACUUGUCAGUGCAGUCCAUCCUCUUGGAGUAUACCUAGGCCCCCCUGGCCAAUGCACUUGCUCCAAAUCAAUCAUCGACGCGCUGUUAUAACUAGAAUUUUCAUGGAUGUUCUCCGAGAAUCCCAAUCCAUUGGACCAAUACCCGAGUUCAUUGUAACCCGUUCCUAUUACAUUCACGAUCUCAAAUAUUUCUGCUGCAGCAACAUUCUGGUUUUUGAAUUUAACUUUACCUGAUAAACCAUGAAAGUCUGCGUCCAAAAUGUUUUCCAACAACUCUUUCCCUCCCCUUUUACUUCCGGUCUUAUUUAAUCCAAGAGCUAUUGUCCUCAUAGCAUCAUACGCUUGCACGGCGUAAAUCCCAGGCUCAUUCCUUUCUUCUCGGGGAUAUUUUCUCCUAAAACGUGUACGAAAUCUUUGAUUAAAGUUCACGAAAUGCGGUCCCAUUUUAGGGAAGUAACUCCGGACUCCUAGAAUUCCUUUCAUUGAGGAUAUUACAGAGGCAUUGAUGGAAUGGACAAGGCUUGUAAAGGGAUCUGUUGUGAUCCAUACAUAGUCCCUUUUCAUCAUUUCCAUUUUGUUUGCCAUUUCAAAUAACCGCACAGCCAAUUUGAAGGACAAAUGAACAACAAAGACUCUACAGUACUGCUUGCUUUUGAUAUUUUCAAGCUCUUUGGACAUUGAAUCAGAAGAAUUAAAAGGAGAGAAGGCUACAAAUUGGCUUACUUCUGAAUUAACUUCUCUAAGGGCAUCAUGUAGAUGUGGUAUGACUCCCCUUGCUGAAGAAUCUGUAUCUUCAUAAAUCACAAUGACCUGAUGCCAGUUCCAUGAUUGCACAAUAGCAGCUAUAGCUUUCAUUUGAGCACGCUUAUCAGGUGAAGCUUGAAGUAGAGAAGGCCAUCGUUCAGGUGCCCAUUCUGGAGCCGUGUCAGCAAAAGAAAGAAUUGGAACCUGUGUUUCUCUGGCAAUCUCAGCAACUAAUGACACCUCUUCCCAUGUCUGUGGUCCUAUAAUGGCUUGUACUUGUCGUGUGUCGAUAAGAUCCUUAGCUGUAUAGCAGUAUAGGCAACGCACAGAUGUGAGCUUGGAUUUAUCUUAAUUUAAGGCAAACGAUACUUAUUUCAAAAGCAAAACAUAUAGUUACCUUCAAGAGCUGCAUGGAUGGUAUCCUUUUGAGAGUCAUUUAUAAGCAAAAAUGUUAGAUUUCCGAAGCCAUAGAAAUCCUCCUUUGCAACUUCCAUCGCUACUAUUUCUUCUUUGCCAAUACGGGAACUUGUAUCCACAAUAGCUCCUAUUCCAGUGCUUCCAUUGAAAAUAGCCUGUGUCUUGGUAAUUUGAUCGGCUGCUGUACCGGAUGUCAAGAGCAAAAUUAGAGCGAACAACGAGAAGGCGUGAGGCAAAGUACCCAUUGUAUUCUUAACGAAACAACAAAGUACUAGAGCUGAUUCUCUUUCUCCAUACUUGUUAGCCUAGACCUCAAUUAAUUUAUAUUUUACUUCGUCAACUUUCAACCUUUAGAAUUUUCUCCUUUAUUCAGGGGUUAUAAUCUGGACUAUAUUUCUCAUCCAUUUUCUGUAUCAUUUCAUUAAAUAUUGUGUGCAAGUAUAUCCUACUAUUUUUUGUGGCCGAUUUUUGACACCGUACGAAACAGCAUUUUAAAAAUAGAACUGUUUAUAUAUAUAUAAAGUGAUAAAAAAAAUUUAAAAAAUUAAUUUGAAGUUAUUUUUUGUAAUGCUAAUUACUUAAUAUUUGUUGGUGUUAAUUUGAUAUUGAGUAAUUAGCAUGACAAUUGUUUCAGAUUCUUGGUAUGCUUAGAUUUGAGUCAAUACAAACGUUAGGUUGACUCACGAUUUCAACUUUUUUUUUUUGUUUUAAGUAAAGAAAACUCAAUAAUAGUUAUGCAAUGACCAUUUACACGAAUUUUCUUAUUAGAGCUUCACGCACAUGUAUUAUUCAUUCAUUUACUUAAUAUUUUUACUACAUUUUUCAAGAAUUGAUUAAGUAGUUAAUAUAUAAUUAGAAAAUGAAAGAAAUUACUAUAUUUUGUGAACAGUUUUCAACUUUAAAUUUUUUUAAUAAUUUUCUUAUAAAUAUAGUUAAAAUUUAAUUAAAAAAUUUCUCCAUUUUUACUCCUUUCACCUCUUCCAUAUAUAUACAAGGAAGGAAACCAUCCAAGUUAUUUCUACGAAUAAAAGAGCCAAGAUCCUAUGUCUGAGGGGCCAAUCUACGAUUGCUACUUCUACAUGCAUAUGAGACAACAAGAAGUAUAACUUGUAAUGCCUGCCAUGGAAUCACAUACAUGUCAAAGGUCCAAUGGCGGCUAUGAGAUUUAUUCAUGUACGUAUUUGUAGGUCCAACUUUCUCGAUUCUUAGGCUGUCAAUGGUUUUUUUCUCUUUCUAAAUUAAUUAUCAGAAAAUUAUGCCUUGAACAUUGGGUUAUAGAGGAAGAUGGAAUUAAUUUAUUCAUGAUUUUCGUGGCUCGAUAAUGUGGAAACAUUUUUAUAGCAUAACAUCUUUGUCACGAGUACGAGGUCCGAUACUCAAAUCCGAAAGCACAGUGCAAGUGGGAAGUCCGAUAGGAUGCACGCUCGAUUGUAUUUAACAUGUGUGAGAAGGCCACACAAGGUAAAGACGAGGAUUGUUCUGUGUGGGGCUGCUUGCCAUGCACGCGAGACAGAGUACAUGAUUGAAGUUCAUUUGUCAGCUACGAAAAAGCCAUUCAAGAAUUUCCUCGUAAUGGACAUUUACACUCCAGAUUUCUGUGGAAGCCGAGUUCCUGGAAAUUAAUGCUUCAGCACUUCUACAGUCCUUGGAAAUACGUGUCGGAGUGCAAGACUGGAAACUGCACGCAUCGAGUACUCUUGAUACGCUUCAAGUUCUUCAGAAAAGAGAAUCACGACUCUAGUAUGUAUCCAGUUACGUUUUUCCAAGCUUGACUAUUAAUUAAUGUAAAACAUUUUAAAUUGACUAUCAUUUAAGAAUUUAGUUGUAAGAGUGGUCUGGUGUCAUAUUUUGUUUAUUUUUUAAUAUUUCAUAAUUUAUUGAUUUUCGAAUUAUAUAAAUUUAUCCCUUUUUAAUUAAUCUCAUGAACAAUUUUAAUUACCUCCCAUUGAAGUUGAAAUCAUUUCAAACACCGGAUUGUAUGUUUGUAUAUUAAUCUAAUUAACAUAGCUAUUUGGCAUAAAAUUCUUUUUAUUCAUAUUAUUAAUCUUGUAAUAUUUAAAAUGAAACAAAUGAUAAUGAAUCCCAUAUAUACCCGUGAAAAAUCCUUGAAUUAAAUAGGUGUUUCAUGAUCAUCUAAGACUCAUCUAAGAAUAUGAACUAUUUCCUUCUCAACUCAAAACACAUUUUGUAUUGCACCUCUCAUCCAAAUAUAUGUAUUUGCCUAUUGAUAUAUAUAUUGGUUGAAAUAAUUUUUUUAAUAUAUAAUAAUAGAAAAAAAAAUCAAUAUAGAAUAUGUGGAUAUAAAACAUUUUAUAAUCUCCAUGUAUAUUCAAUUUAAUAUUUUUAAUUUCUGUUGAAUUUUUUAAAAGAAAUAUCAUAUAAUUUCAUUUUUUAUCAAUAGAGAGCUUAAUUGAAUUAAAAAACAAUUUGGACGGAAACAAUAUAUAAUUAAACUACUAUGCUAUCAUAGUUUCUUAAACAAUUUAAGAGAUUUUGAUUAAGAUUCAACUAGUAUUUAUAUAAAAAAAAAUCAUGUAUCCAUGUGUCAUUUCAUUAAAAAGAAUAAUUAUUCACUAUUAGAUUCAUAUUAGUGGUCAACAAUUGAGUAUAACAAGAAUAUAUACAGCUAGUAAUUUAAGAAUAUGCGUGAAUAAAGAGAAUAAAUUAUAUUAGAAUUAAGAUUCUAUAGUCUUUAUUUGUUUUAGACAAUUUAUAUAGAAUUAAAAUUUUAAAUUCAUGUGAAAUUCGACCUUUAUAAAAUCAUAAAUAAAUCAUCUAGUAGCUGGAAAUGGUAGUUAGCUCCAUAUAUAAAACUUAUCCACAAGUUUUAUACAAUUUACAAACUUUCUUUUAUCACUUUCUUGUAAUUUAUUUUUUAUUGUUUUUUUUAUUUAAUUUUCUUUAUUUACUUAGCAUUUUUACCUAUCUUUCUUUCUCUUAACCUAUUAAAGUUAAGUGCAAAAUUUUGACUCUUUGCUUGAUUUGCGAAUCUGCAAGUUGGCUUAACUCGGGAUUAAAUUUUUAAUUAUAGGUUUUUUUUGGUUGGGAGGAAGAAAUGAAUGACAGGUAACAUUAAUUAAAUAACCAAUGUCAAGAAAUGAUUAAUUGACAUGUUAGACUAAUUUGUUAGACUAAAAACAGAGUAGUUACGAUGUCAAAAAAUUAAAUGAGAAAAACACGGUUAUAGUGAUUGAUGAUCAGUGAGUCAACCUUAAACACAGUGCCCAAUUAAAUGAGAAAAACACGGUAAAAUGCCAACGGACUUUAUUUAUCUAUGAAGGCGUCAAUAAUUGUGGUAUUUUUAUUAAAUAUUUCUUAACUCUCGGUAAAAUGCCGACGAAGACAUUUCGUCGGUAACUCCGUUGGUGGGGUUUUUUAUAUAUUUUUUAAAAAAAUUAUUUAGAAUAAAUAAUAUAAAAUUAUAUAAAUUAAUAGUAAAAAAACCAAUUAUGCAAAUAAAAUUUUAUUAAACAUCAAAAAUAAAAAAAUAAAGUUAAAUAAUAUUCAUUAUAAAUUUAAUGUGUUUUCAAAAAUAUAUUAAACAAGAACAAUGGUGGAGCUGGAGGAGGAGAAGGAGGCUGGUUGUUCCCAGGACCAUACAGCCAAAAAGGGGGCACACAUGUAUCAUCCUUCUGUGAUGUAAUGUUCAUGACCAUUUGGCGGAGUUGUUCAUAAUUCACCGAGAGUUGCUCGUAUUUUUCGGCGAGAUGAGUCGUGUGUUGUUCAUAAUUCACCGAUAGUUGUUCGUAUUUUUCGGUAAGAUGAGUUGUGUGUUGUUUCAAGGCCACGAUCUCCUUAGAUUAGAUGCUCGAUACUGAUUGGGAGCUCCCAACGGUUGAGACACUACGGCCCGCCCGCAAGUUAUCGGCCGUAGUGUUGGAGAGCCCGUACAUCCAAUUUUUAAAUUAAAUUAAUGAAAUAUUGAUUAGUUGUUCAUAAAUUAUGUUAUAAUUAAAUAAAAAAACUAAAACCGAAACAAACUUACAUUGAAAGGUCGUCCCUCCAAUGUGUCUCGUACUUGCGGGUGAAUUGAUUCCGUUGUGAAGGCACACCGUCUUUGCGCUGUGAAACCGAGCUGGAAGAGGUAGCAUCGCAAGUCAGUGCAGGUGCCUCUUCUUGAUCGGCACCUAAGAACAUGUCAUCUUCACUGCUAGAAGAACUAGCUGCGACCAUAUGUGAGCGACGAGCUGUUGAUUUCGUUCCACGCUUCUACACAAUUUUAUACGAAUAAUUACAUAAUUAAAUUCGAUUCUUAAAAACAAAUUCGACAACACCCCCCUAUACUGGAGACUACCCAAAGUUUUAAACCUGCAAAUAUUGACAAUAGCCACAACCAAUUGAUCCCAUUCAAAAAUCUUAUAUAUAACCUAACAUCUAUACAAAUAACAAUUAAAAUUAAUGGAAAUAAUUAAACACAUAUAAUGCAAUAAUAGAGUAAAAUUGAGAUAAAAUAAUUAAAUUUAUUCCUAUGUAUUCAAUUACUAAUUGCAAGUUAAAUUCUAUAAUAACAAUUAAAAUUCAACAAAAUAUUCAAUUAUUAUGACAAUACAAACAAUAAAAUAUAUUCAACAAAUUAAAAAAAAGAACUAUAGACUUUAGGAAUGAAAAAUGCUUACCUUAAUAAUGUGUUUAUUUCAGGAUUUUAUCUACCUUAUAAAAAUACACCAAAACAAAAAACACAACAAAAAAUAGAACUAGAGAAGAAAAUAUAAAAAAAUAAAAUCAUUAAGCAUAUUAAAUGGAAAUACAUUCAUUUUAAUUUGUUGAAGAUAGAACUAGAGAUUACAAGCAACAAACAACAGUUUUGAAGCAAAUGAGAGAAAAAAAAAUUAAAGCUUUGAAAGGAAGCAGAUGAAAAAUGAACUGAAGGGGCGGUCACUGGGAUAUAUACCGCAAUUUUACCGACGAAAUCCCCGACGGUCAAUUUAAAUAAUUUUAUUUUUAAUUAUUCCGUCGGUGAAUUUUUAAAAAUCCAUCUGCAAAUUAUGAAUUUCGCACUAAAUUUUUUUAAUUACCCUCCAUCAUUUUCGUAGUCCGUCGGCAAGUGCACGCGGUCAGAGAAGCAUUAAUUACCUGCCCUUUGGAAUUCGCAUCGUCCGUCGGUAAUUGUUCAUAUUGUAAUUGAAAGAUUUGAGAUUCGGUCAGCUGUGCGUUAUUGGGCAGUAAAUAUUAUCGAUGUUGCCUGCAAGGUUGUUCCAAAUUAUAUGAGUUUAUGAUAUUGCAAUAUAUAAAUAGUACAUUCUUAACAAAAUUUAAUUAGUAGUACAUAUACUUACUGAAUAAAAGGUCUCAGCUCAUCACAAUUAAAUAGAACAUAAUUAUGUGCUUGUCUGAACUCUAUUUCUAACAAAUAUCUUCCCCUUACGACCUUUUUAGGUGUGGGUCGUCCAGGAUUGGAGAAUAUUGACAAGUUCCUACUGGAAGGCACUUCACCACCAUCAUCAUGAUGUGGAACACGAUUGAUUCUCGUUCUCAAAUGAGGUUCGAAAUAGUACGAGAUAAAUGUUGAGAUCUCCUUAACAAUAUAGGCUUCACAUAUCGAAGCCUCAACAUGCACCUUGUUCUUAACCUUUUUCUUAAGAUUGAACAAGUACCUGUAUUGAAUUAAUCAUAUAAUUCCAAUUAAGAAAAAAAAAAGAAAAUACUUUUAUAUAUGAAUUACAUUGCAACUAUAAUAUCUAACCAUUCGAAUGGAUACAUCCAUCUAUACUGGACUGGUCCUCUAACUUUUGCCUCAAACGAUAAAUGUAUGGGGAGAUGCUCCAUUGAGUCAAAAAAUAAUGGAGGGAAUAUCAUCUCAAAUUUGCAUAGUGUCUCGACGAUAUUUGUUUCAAGCCUCUCAAUGUGAUCAACAUUCAACUUGCUACAACAUAUAUCUCUAAAGAAAUGAUUGAUCUCCGUGAGUGCAUCGCAUAUCCCUUUUGGCAACAAAUCAUGAUAAACUAAUGGAAUGAGUGUUUGCAUAAACACGUGGUAGUCAUGACUCUUCAUUCCAUACAAUAUGCAUUCCUCCAUAUUAACCAACCUUGAUAUGUUCGAGGCAUGUCCAUCGGGAAAACACAAACUCUUAAGCCAUUUGUAGACUAGUAGUUGUGCAUUUUUCUCUAAUACGAAGCUUGCUCUUGGUUUUGCGACCCGUGACCUAUCCCAAACCAACUCCAUAUUUUUAAGGUUACAGAACAAAGUUAUAUACAAUCUAGCCUUGAUGUUGUCCUUUGUUUUCUCCUUCACAUCCAUGAUGGUGUUGAAAAUGUUCUCAAACACGUUCUUUUCUAUGUGUAUGACAUCAAGGUUGUCAUAACCCAUUUUUGGGUUCUUCCCAAUUACAUUUCUUUUGCUUCAAAAAAUAAAAUGAAACAAUGCCAUUUUGAAUGGCACUGUUCUUCUUCUUCCCUGCACAUACAGAGGCAGGGAAGAAGAAGAUUUUAAAUCUCCUUUUGCCGCUCAACUUCUCCUUCUUUACCUCCCCACUUGCCUAACUACUGACACAACCCAUACCCUCAUUAAUGGAGAAACAGGAGACCCAUGCCCCCCACCAUGAUGAAAAGCGAAAGAACCAUGCCCCAACCACCAUGCCUUGUGCUUGGACAAGGUACAGUGAACCUCUCCCCGACUGCCUAUAAAUACAAGGGAACGAGCGACACAGGAGAGGGGAGGAGAGAAAAAGGAAACCAGGGGGAAUUUUUUUGAGAAAACAGGGAGCAAACGAUAGAUACCAGGGGGAAAUAUUUUGAAAAGAACGAAAAAAAAUAGAGGGACGGGGGAGAAAAUUAUAGAGGAAGAAGGAAGGAAAAAGGAGAACCACCGUUGUUCUUCCUCUCCACUGCCACUGAGAAGAUUGCAUCGAAAACAGACUUAGCAAACAAAAAGAUAGAGAAGGGAGUAUCGAUCAACAGCAAAAAAAAAAACAGAGGCUCAUGCCUUUGCAUAGAGAGGAGAAGAGCCAUCGUCGCCCACCACAGCAACUCCACCGGUCAGCAACCACCGGCAGCACUGCCUUGAAGCCACCGCAGGUCCACCUCCCUCUCCUCCUCCUUCUCCUCCUCCUCUCUUCUUCCUUCUUCUUCUUAUACUCCCCGCAAACACAGAGGAAGAACUCCCUUCUCCACCGCAACAGCUACUCCACUACAAGCACACCACCUGAUAGCCACCGUUAGCCACCUCCACCACUAGAAAUUUUUGUUGUAGAGCAAUAAUCAAAAUUCUUGUAUCAUCAUGCAAGGGUACGACCAUGUGUCAACCCUAGAAGGGCGAACUCAUCAUAUAGAAACAUACUCAUACAUUUAUCCAAGGUUGUUAAAAUCGUGAUUUUAACACGGCACGGAAAGCCGCACGCAAACUCGGAUCGUAAAAACGGAUCGUAAAAUCAUAAAAAAAUCGUAAGGAAUUUUAAAAUACAUUAAAAAAAAUUCAUGCUUCAAAUAAAAAUUCAUACAUUAAAUUUAAAUUAUAUUGAUUUUAUAUUUAAAUUAUUUUUUUAUUGAUUUGAUUCUAAGAUAUUUUGAUUUUUUAACUGUGAUUUAAUUUAGAAUUAUUAUUUAACGAGAACCAUUAGAAACAUUAGAAUUAUUUCCAAGAGAUCAUGCAUGAUCUCAAGCGUGAGAGUUUUAGACUCGAGAUCAUUUGAAAAUAAGAGAAGCAUUCAUUAAUUCCAUUUAUUUAUAUAAAAGUCUUGGCUAUUCAAUCUCAAUAGCAACCAUACACUUAUUAACCAACCAUGCGAAUAUUUACAUCUGACGUGGCAGUUUCAUUAGCUUGCUGGAGAAAAAGCUUAACCCUUGGGUAUAGUGGGCGGUCUCAAACAAUAUUAUUCGUGUUUCAAGAAACAGUUGAACGCUCCAUCGAUGCAGGAAAUUAAUAUAUAUAUAUUUCUCGGGGUUGGGUUGCUAGAUAGAAUCUUUUUUUUUUUUGUGUGGCGGAAGACUAAUUCGGUGAGUCACAGUUACUAAAUAAAUUGCCUUUGAUCUGUUCAAGCCAAUAGGCGGGUGACACGUGGCAGCUACACUGAAUUUUGUUCUCCUGCGGGCAAACUCGUUCAAUCGGUGGUAAAAUCGCGAUUUUAUGCGAUUUCACCCGAUUUUAACGAUUUUAACUGUUUUUGACCUGAUUUUACUCAUUUCCAAUUUUUAUGAACAAUUUAGCACGUAAAGUCUAUAUUAAAUCGUAAAAACAUACGAUUUUACGACUUGAAUCGCGAUUUUAACAACCAUGCAUUUAUCAUACAUGUUACCAGGUUGAAACAUAGGUCCCCCACCCAAGAUUUGCUACACCUGAAAGAUGGAAAAUGAAGAAAGAGCUCAAUUGGAGGCCUAUUAUCAAAAUGAACUUGAGAGCAUCAAAGGUGAAGUAGUUAGACUUACACAUCUGCUUGAACAAGUGCUGAGCUCCAAAAAUGGAAAAAGGGAUUUUUGCACAACCUCCAGUGAAAACACCAUCAAUCCACGAUGAUUAGUACUUAAAAGUACAUUUUUACCAAGGUUUUAUAUCAUCAUUUUGCACUUGAAGUAUCAAUAACUCCUUAACUAAAGCAUGUUUUAUAAUAACAAGUCUAAUACUAUAAGAUACCUUUAAUUUAUGUUAAAUGUUCAUCUUAAAUGCAGGCCUAUCACAUAAAUCAAAGGAUUGAUUGAUGAGUUUAACUACUGAAAUUGAGAAGACAAAGAAAGGGUUAAGCUUAGAAAAGAGAUGCUGGUUUUGUCCAAACUGGAACAUUGUUCAGUCAUUAGGACAUAUGUGAAGCUGUAGAUCUUGGAUUUCAAUUUGGUUUAUAUGGCUAGAAAGUUAAGACAUAGGCCUAAAACAUUCAUGAAGAGUGUAAGACCCAAUUAUAUUGUUUGGAAGUCCAAAUCUUAGCAACAACGGAGAAGUCGAAAUCUGUCUUACAGCCCAGACACUGUUCAGUGUUCAGCUCAUAUCUCGAGUUCUAGAAGUCCAAAUGCUCUGAUUCUUUUUUUGUUGGAAAGCUGAGAUAAUUUCCUAGAACUUUCAUGAUUUAAGUCUGUUCAAAUUCUAACGUUAUCAAUGAUGUUUUGUUCAGAUAAGAAGAUAAGGAUUGUCACCAAGUCAAGAUGUGGUCACCCACUCAACAAUUAAUCAUCAAAUCAAUAGUUUCAAAUUUUGGCCUAUAAAAGGAGGCAUUUGUAAUGCAUUUAGGCAUCUUGGUUUUCAGAUCAAUAUCAUGUUCUUGCUCUCUCUUUAUAUUUUUGUAAUGCUUAAGUUUUGUUUAUAUUAAUCUUUUAUUUAUGCUUUAAAUAUCCUUUCCUUUACUUAGUUAACUUAUAUCUUAUUUAUGUUCUUAUCUUGUUUAUUUAUGUUUCUCUUCUUCAUUAUGUUUAGCUAAGUUUAUUAUGUCAAGGUGAAAAGGUUACACUAAUGGUGUAAGAAUAAGUAUAGUAUAAACUCAACAUGGACUUUAAUAUUUGAUACUAACAUGUUUUGUAUUUGUUAUCUUAUUCACUCUUAAUACUUUGCUUGUUAAAUGCUUAAUCUAGAUUUAUGUUGUAUAACCCUUGGUACAACAAAUACUUGGCACUUUCAUAGCCCAACCGUAUCGUAUAACCGACACCUGUGCUAUGAAAGGAACUUGAUUUGUUGUUAACAUAAGUUAUAAUCAUGAAUACCUGACAACAUUUACAAGUAUUAGCAUUAUUCGAAUAAGAUAACUAAUGUAAUCAUGUUAACAAUUUAUAAUCUGAUUGGAACCUCCUUUGUGUGUGGUUUCCAGUUGAGUAAUAAGAGUUUAUAGUAUACUUGUUUGAAAUACCAUUAGUGGAUCCUCUAACCUUGAUAAUUGUUUUUAUCAUUGUUUAAUCAUUAUAUCAAUAUCACAUCUCAAAGCUCUCUUCAACUUAUUAUUAUUAUUACUAUUAUUAUUAUUAUUAUUAUUUAUAAUUUAUAUAGUUAACCUCCCUAUGGUUCGACCCCGAUCUUGCCGGGUUAUUUAUUACUUCGACACUCCUGCACUUGGGAGAAGACAUCAAUCGUUUAGUCGUGUCACAUAUUGUCUGUGAUUGAGCUUCUUUGAAGCUCUUCGGUUCAUAGACAUUUGAUAUAUAGGUAAGGAAUGCACUAUGUGUUGGAGACAGUCGAUGAUAAGACACAAAUCUAGAAAUAGGAUACCUCACACUAUAGGUGACAUAGUCUUGCAUUCGAGAUGGUGGUUGAUAUGUUCGAAGAGAAACUCUCCUAGUGUCUUGCAGAGCAUCAAGAGAACCAGGUAGUUCUGAAUCACUGAUACGGUUAAGUUGGGAAUUGCAAGAAUCAGUAGCAGACUUGAGUUGAAUCUGUUGGUUAGUCUGUGGGUGAUGUUGUCGCAGGACAUUAUUGCUGGAAUCAGAGGCAGACUGAGGUUGAAUAUGUCGGUCUAUCUGUGGUUGAUGUUGUCGCAGAGCAUCAUUGCUAGAAAUGAAUGUAGUGUUGGAGAGCUCGUACACCCAAUUUUUAUCGGGUCCACCAGACGAUACUACCUUCAUCCACAAAUCCGGAUCAAAAUCCGGAUGGGUCGAAGAAUCGUCCCCAUAUCUCUCUCUCAACCGGAUAUUAUAAGUCUCUUGAAAAUGAAAAAAGAAAUCAUCAUAUUCAAUUCAAGAAAAAUAAUAACUUACCAAAUAAAAUGGUUGAACGAACAUACCACAAAGUGUUGAGCACGAUUGUCAACGAACUAUUGCACCCCAUUUUGGCAAUCUUCACUUCGCACGUGCGUCUCUAAAAACAGUUUCAUUGGGCUCUGCUCACAUCCAAGAGACGUAGCCUGUAAGAAAAAAAAUUAAUUAAGUAACAACAAAUUAAUUAACGAUAUAUUUCAUUUAAAUUAAUCUUACCAUCCGUUUUGCAUGUGUAGCAAACGGAAUGGAGCCGCCGGUGUGCAUGGUCACCGAAACAUGAAUUUGUCAGUUCUGGUUGUCGGCACCGGACUGUGAGCAUCGUGUGAACCGCUCAGAUAUCACGUGCUCAAUAUAUCUCCCGGGAUGUAUAGCGGUUUGAAAUCCCUCCAAACCGCCACGUCGUUCCAGCCUUGGAACCGUUAUCUCUCACGUUUUUUUUGUGUUUUUUGUGUUUCAUACCAAAGAUCACACAACAUACUUCCAUAGUGACAAAUUAGAUUUUAAAACAAAUUUUUUUUAAAAAAAAAUAUCGUAUUGUUUUCGAUGUUACCUAGUUGCCACGUGAUUUUCUCACACCCUCCUUGCAACAUUGUCAUGCGCGUUGUCCCACUCAUAUUUAUGUUGUGUAUAAAUAAUUUAUUUAAAAUAAAAAUAAUAAUUUAUUUACAAUUAUAAUAAUAAAUUAUUAAAAAUAAGCUGGAAAUUAGAAAUUAACACCAAUCUGAAAUCUUCAAAACCAUGCAUCAAUAUAAGGUCUCCAUUCAGGAUGUCUGGAAAACUGACUCCAUUGAAAUAAUAGAAUCUCCAUCGACAAUUUAAACGCCGAUGAUAUUACUCGGGCGACCUCAAUGUUUUUGAACCUGAAAAUAAAUUAAAUUAAUGAAAUAUUGAUUAGUUGUUCAUAAAUUAUGUUAUAAUUAAAAAAAAACAAAAUCGAACCGAAACAAACUUACAUUGAAAGGUCGUCCUUCCAAUGUGCUCAUACUUGCGAGUGAAUUAAUUCUGCUGUGAAGGCACGCCGUCUCUGCGCUGUGAAACCGCACUGGAAGAGGCAUCAUCGUGAGUCAGCGCAAGUGACUUUUUUGAUCGGCACCUAAUGACAUGUCAUCCUCGCUGCUAGAAGAACUAGCUGCGACUAUAUGUGAGCGACAAGCUGUUGAUUUCGUUAUACGCAUCUACAUAAUUUUAUAUGAAUAAUUACAUAAUUAAAUUUGAUUAUUAAAAAAAAAAUUGACAGCACCUCCCCUAUAUUGGAGACUACCCCAAGUUUUCAAACCUGCAAAUAUUGAAAAUACCCAUAACCAAUUGACCCCAUUCAAAAAUCUUAUAUAUAACCUAACAUUUAUACAAAUAACAAUUAAAAUCAAUGGAAAUAAUUAAACACAUAUCAUGCAAUAAUAGAGUAAAAUUAAGAUAAAAUAAUUAAAUUUAUUUCUAUAUAUUCAAUUACUAAUUACAAGGUAAAUUCAACAAUAACAAUUAAAAUUCAACAAAGUAUUCAAUUAUUAUGGCAAUAAUAACAAUAGAAUAUAUUGAACAAAUUAAAAAAAAAAAAAACUAUAGACUUUAGAAAUGAAAAAUGCUUACCUUAAUAAUGUGUUUAUUUCAAAACUUUAUCUACAUUAUAAAAAUACACCAAAACAAAAAACACAACAAAAAUAACAAUAACUAAAACAAAGAAAAAAUAAAAUAAAAUAAAAUUAUUAAGCAUAUUAAAUGGAAAUACAUACUUUUUAAUUUGCUAAAGAUUGAACUAGAGAUUACAAGGAAAAAAAACAAAAGUUUUGAAGGAAAUGAGAGGAAAAAAACAAAAACGAGAGAACUCUCAAACGAAGCAGGGGAAAAAUGAACUGAAGGGGCAGUCGCUGGGAUUUAUAGCACAGUCUCGGUGAAAUGCCGACGGAUACAAUAUCCAUCUGUAUAGACGUCGGUGAUUGUGGUAUUUGCAGUGAAUAUUUUACAACUCUCGGUGAAAUACCGAUAAAUACAGUAUCCAUCAGGAUAUACGUCGGUGAUUAUGGCAUUUACAGUAAAUAUUUUGCAACUCUCGGUAAAAUACCGACAGACGGUUUCCAUCUAUAAAGACAUCGGUGAUCAUGUACUAUGCAUGAAAAAUUAUGUUUGUAUUGCCUAUUUACCCUCCUGCAAACACUUAAAUUACAAACUGCCCGUACAAAACAAUAACAACAGUUAAAAAUUAUAAAAUAAAUAUUUCAUGUUACAAAAUAUCAUCCAUAAUAUUAAAUUAUAAAAAAAAGCUUUACACUUUUCUUGAUUCUGAUAUUUAGUUAGAAUUUUCUUCUUCUUCGUCAUCAAUUGAAUCGUUAUCAGCUCCAUCUUUAAUCUUCAAUAUGGAUAUCAUCAUCAUCAUCUUCAUCGACAUUUGCUUGUCCGCUAGAGCUCAGAACAACAUUCAACUCCUCUACGUCAACAUCAACAAGAUUAUCAUCGAAAACAUGAAAAUUUGAAUUUUCUUCUACGUCAAUCGAAGGAGCAACUCGAUAUGGUUCAACCAACUUACUAACUUGAAAGACUUCAUCUCGCACACUUGUGUCUUCAUUCUUAUCCUGAACAACCUCGACACAGCCCCUGGGUUUCGUUUUUAAAAUGAAUAACCAAUCAACUCUUGAUCAGUCCUUUCUAAAGGAAGGGGUGUAUGUGUAAUAAACUUGUUGACAUUGCUUUGGGAAAACAAAGACAUCGUUUACGUUGCGGAGCCUAGCUUUUGAGUUGAUUUCAACAAGACCAUAGUGAGGAUCUACUCUAAUUCCUCUGCCAGUGGUGUCAUACCAAUAGCAUUUAAAUAAAAAUACUCUAUUCCACUCGCUAUGAUAUUGCAGUUCGACGACCUCUUCUAAUUUACCAUAGUAGUCAACUUCAAACUCACUACAAGUCGAACCCUUAACAUAAACACCGUUGUUGUAUGUCUUUCUUCCAUGCCCGUAUUCUUCAAUAUGAAACACAUAUCCAUUGACAAAAUACGCGUUGUAACACUUAACUUUUCUUUCAGGACCCAGGCUUAGUGAAGACAAUGAAAUAGCAGCACUCCUUCCUAUUUGAUAAACCUUGUAUAUCAUGUACAAUAAUGAACAGUAAACGAGAAUUAUGUAAUGACAUACAAUAACUUUGCAAGAGAUAAUGAGUUUGUGAUAGUACUUACAUGUGUUCUGAACCACGUGGCAAAUUAUUCAUCUUGUAAUUGAAAGAUUUGAGAUUCGGUCAGCUGUGAGUUAUUUGACAGUAAAUAUUGUUGAUGUUGCCUAUAAGGUUGUUCCAAAUUAUAUGAGUUUAUGAUAUUACAAUAUAUAAAUAGUACAUUCUUAACGAAGUUUAAGUAGUAUAUAUACUUACUGAAUAAAAGGUCUCAGUUCAUCAUAAUUAAAUAUAACAUAAUUGUGUGCUUGUCUGAACUCUAUUUCAGACAAAUAUCUUCCCCUUACAACAUUUUUAGGUGUGGUUCGUCCAAGAUUGGAGAAUAUUGACAAGUUUCCACUAGAACGCACUUCACCACAAUCAUCAUGUCGUGGAACGCGAUUGAUUCUCGUUCUUAAAUGAGGUUCGAAAUAGUACAAGAUAAAUGUUGAGAUCUCCUCAAUAAUAUAGGCCUCAUAUAUCAAAGCUUCAACAUGCGCCUUGUUCUUAACCUUUUUCUUAAGAUUGAACAAGUACAUGCAUGGAAUUAACCAAAUAUUUUCAAUUAAGAAAAACAAAGAAAAUACUUUUAUAUAUGAAUUACAUUGCAACUGUAAUAUCUAACCGUUCGAAUGGAUACAUCCAUCUAUACUGGAUCGGUCCUCCAACUUUUACCUCGAACGGUAAAUGUAUGGGGAGAUGCUCCAUUGAGUUAAAAAAUGAUGGAGGGAAUAUCAUCUUAAGUUUGCAUAUUGUCUCGAUGAUAUUUGUUUCAAGCCUCUCAAUAUGAUCAACAUUCAACUUGCUAGAGCAUAUAUCUCUAAAGAAAUGACUAAUCUGCAUGAGUGCAUCCCAUAUCCCUUUUAGCAACAAAUCACGAUAAGCUAAUGGAAUGAGUGUUUGCAUAAACACGUGACAGUCAUAACUCUUCAUUCCAUACAAUCUGCAUUCCUCUAUAUUAACCAACCUUGAUAUGUUCGAGGCAUGUCCAUCAGGAAAACGCAGACUCUUAAACCAUUUAUAGACCAGUAGUUAUGCAUUUUUCUCUAACACAAAGCUUGCUCUUGGUUUUGCGACUCAUGACCCAUCAAAAACCAACUCCAUGUUUUUACGAUUACAGAACAAAGCUAUAUCCAAUCUAGCCUUGAUGUUAUUCUUUGUCUUCCCCUUCACAUCCAUGAUGGUGUUGAAAAUAUUCUCAAACAUGUUUUUUUCUAUAUGCAUGACAUCAAGUUUAUGGCAGAGGAGAUUGAAAACCAAACACAAUGUCACCGUACUUUGAUACAACAUCAUGCAAUUCUUCACAAAAAAAACGCAGGGGUGCAACAUCAUUUUCAACUCUGCCAACAAAGAAAUCCUCUAUGUUCUUUCUGAACCUAUGAUUCGUUGGCAAGAAACGACGGUUACAGUAAAAAAAAAAGAAGCUUUACCUCCAUUUGUUAUCAUGAAUGCCUUGUUGUUUUCCAUGCAGUAUGGACAUGUUAUUUUUCCAUGCAUGCUCCAACCACAAACCAUUUCAUAAGCUGGAAAAUCAUUGAUAGUCCACAUCAAAGCUGACCUCACAACAAAAUUUUAUAAACUACGUCAACUCAUCAAUCAACGGUCGAAGACAAACAUCUAUAUUCCGGCCUGGACUGCUCAGACUGGGUAUGACAGUAGAUAAAAACAUGAACUCCGGUCUCAUACACAUUCCUAGUAGUAAGUUAUAAACCGUGAGUAUGACCGGCCAACAAGGAUAAGGAGUAGCAAAUGACCCAAAUAGGUUGAAUCCAUUUGUACACAACCCAAGACGCACAUUCCUUGAUUCAGCUGAAAAGUGAGGAUGCAUACUGUUAAAAUGUUUCCAUACUUCGCCGUUAGAAGGAUGCAUCAUCACUCCAUCAACCGCAUCAUGUGAUUGGUGCCAUGUCAUGUGUUCAACAGUCCUUGGUGACAUGAAUAAUCUCUGCAGUCUAGGUGUGAUUGUAAAGUGUCUAAGUGUUUUAUAUGCCUGAGAGUCUUUCCCCUGCCAGUUCUGGGUUCGUAACGGGAAUGUCCACAUGUCAUGCACUCGGUCAGCUCAGCAUUUUCAAGGUAGUAUAACAUGCAGAUGUUAGGGCACAUGUCAAUUUUCUGGUAUCCUAAACCAAGGGGUUUCAUCAUAGACUUUGGAGCAUAUAAGUUCUCUUUCAGCCUGUUCCCUUUAGGGAAAAUGCUUCUCGCUCAUUCAAUAAUUUUGUCAUAACCGGCCUCACUCAACUCGUGAUCUGACUUGAUGGUGAAUACCUGUGCUACAGCCGAUAAUUUACUGUGGUUCGUGCAGCCAUCCCAUAAUGAUUCGUCAGAAUUUUUUAACAGAUCAAAAAACCUUACUGCAUCUGCAUUAGGUUCUUCUUCUACGAUUAGACAUUUACUGACAUUACCUUAAUUCAUUCUCAUUGCAAUUGUUGCUACCCAAUUUUAGACUUAUGUUUUUGAUAAAUUUUCAGAAAAAACCAAAAAUAGCAAAAAAACAACAAAAACCCAAAAAAAUGCAUUUUUGGAUAUAUUGCAUCAUUUUUAGCAUUUUCAACGUCAUCUUAGAAGAAUUUAAAUUUUCAAAGGUAUUUUGAACGUGUUCAACUUUUAACGCGUUAAUUUUACAAUCACUGAUUUUUCUUGUUGAGUUGACAUUGAUAUUGCUCGUUUUAAAAAAUACAAAAAAAUAAGAAAAAAUCAAAAUUGACAAAAAAUAAAGAAGUUGAGGGACCAAUGUGUUUUGGGGACCAAGCCACUUUGCUUAGAAAUAGAGGUUGCAACACACAUAAAAAGAGGGGGAGAAAAUUUACAAGGGUCAAUUUUGAGACAUCAAAGGAGAAACCUAAACCACAAAAAAACCCUAAAAAUAACCUAGCUUUUCUUCUCCCAGCAGUUGUGGUCCCCCUCUCUUUUGGCAAAAAAAUAGAGAGCCAGAAACCGUGGCCGCCUCCCCAGCUUUUGGAUUUCAGUCUCCUAGCUUUUCCAGCCGCCACUCAUACACCUCCUCUAACCUCUGUUUCCUUUGGUUUUUUUCCCUGAGCCGACCGGAAAGCACACCAGCCCACAUUUUCUUGUCCCAGCCGGCUACAAGACAGUCCCUCACCUGGCCAACAUCAACAGACAAUGACCCGACCUUCUCUUUCCCGGAUCUGUUCUGCUCUCUUCUCCCUGCAGAUUGGCCUCCACAGAAGCCAGCCGCCGCUCACCCUCCUUCUUUCCCUCACCGUCGCUCUCCCUCGCGGCCAAGACAACACCACCGUCCACCACCCAGCCUCUCUUCCCUGAUCUGUCUUCCUCUCUUCUUAUUGUCCCAGCCAAACCCCAACCGGUUCUCCAAGACCAGAAACAACCACUCCCCGCCGACCGAACCAGGUCUCCAUCUCCACCAGCCACCACCGCAGCCCUCUUUACAACUGCCAGAUCGGCCACCGGAAGAAGGAAGAACAACAAACCAUAACUGAAAACAGACCCAAAAACAGAUCCGAAAAGGAGAAAAGAAAAACUAAAAUCAACUGUUGUUUAUGCAUUUUUCUCUUGUUGCAGUGACAGUGAUCCUCACCUCCGGUGCAGAAAGGAAGAGGGGGAGAAGACGUUUUAGAUCUCUCUAUUCGCUUGGACUUUCUUGCGGCGGCGCGUGAACCCAUGUGCCGCCAGUGGCGGUGGCACGUGGAGAAGACGCGCCGCCACUAUUCAAAUGUCCAGAAACCUUCCAGCCACUGUUCCUACAGUUACAGAAGGCCUUCCUUGCAAUUCUUGUAGAUUUCUAGGGUUUAUUUUUAAAUUUUUGAAUUGUAUUUGAUUUUUUUGAAUUUUUGUUAUUUUUCAAUUUUUGUAAUUGGAACAUGUUUUGUUAAACCACCCAUAAGAACCAUAUUUUGACUCUUAUCCGGAGAAUAGCAAACAAUAACUUCCAUUGAAUGAAUAAUGGAUCCAGAUCCUAAAAAACAACAAUGUUUUUGAAUAAGCUAAAAUAAAGCGGCUCGAUAGGAGCCCGUACUUAAAGCUAACAUCGUAUAACCCAAUUGAGACAUUGUAUAAUAAGCUAAACCUCUCUUAAUAUCUUUUUGAGCAAAAGCUAAAGUAGCUCCUAAUAGUACUGUUAUUAUACCUAUCAAAGCUAUUAGCUUCAUUAUGUAAGGUAUAACUAUGAAAAGAGGAAGAAGUCGAGCUACAAGAAAAAUUCUUGUUGUUACCAUGGUAGCAGCAUGUAUUAGAGCCGAAAUAGGGGUAGGUUCUUCCAUGGCAUUCGGUAACCACACAUGAAGGGGAAAUUGCGCCGAUUUAGCAAUUGCAUCGGAAAAUAAUAGGAAAGCGCACAAGGUAACAAAUAAAAAAUAAACCUCAUUAUCAUUAUUAUAAAUUAAGUUAUUGAAAAUUUCAAACAAAUCCUGAAAUUCGAAACUGUCUGUUAUUCAAUAAAGACCUAAAAUUCCUAAUAAUAAACCAAAAUUGCCUACACUAUUAACAUGUAAAAAAUGAUGUGUGUGUGUUUGAACUUUUUUUUAUGUAUGUUAUUGAAUUAUAAAAUAAAAAAGACAAAAAUUUAAUGUUUUAAUUUGCAUAUGGUCAAGUAUCUGAAGUACAAAUAAAAUCAUGUUGUAUUUCCUGUAAAAAUGUAAGAACACGUUUCUACAUAUAUUUUGGGAUUUAAUAAUUGAUUUAUUAACGCCUUAAGAAUUUGACUAAUAUUUUAAUUUUUUAAAAUCACAUCAAAACACGAAGUAGCUUACCUCAGGUAGGGUGCGCUAGGGAUGCUAAUACCUUCCCUAGCCACAACCAGUUCCUUACCCUCGAAUCUCUGACAAUGACCAGUACACUCGAGUUUCCUAGUAACCUUCAAUUAAAUACUAGGUGGAGACUCCUACAGAACCAAUCAAGCAAACAAACAAAAAUUGCCAUCGACGCCGCGUGGGGUACGUGCGACAACAUCCAUAACCAUAUUCCUGUAAGCAUCAUUGAUAGUCAGUGCACGUUGUUAGCACUAGAAGUUGACCCAACCACCCUUUCUCCCAUGCUAUCAUUACGAACAAAUAGUUCUCUGUGUGCAUACCAACAUAGGUAAUCCUUCAUGAACCCUUUGUGUAAAAGAUGCAUCGUUACAACAUCUGGAUGCAGAUACUUUUUAUUUUGACACUUCCUGCAUAGACACCUAAUACCGCCUUCAGUAAAAUUUCUGGGAAUAGAUGUUGCAAAAUUAAUAAAACCCUUAACCCCAUUACAAUAAUUCAUCCUCCGCAAUCCUUAGGGUGAAUCUCGAUACAUCCAUGAACGAUCACCCAUGACUUCUAUCGAACCUCUAUAAAAUUAUAGUGACAACAUGUAUUAAUUAACUAUAUUAGGUAAAUAAAUUUGCAAAAAUAUUGGUUUACCUCCAGAUUAUCCAACAAACUAAUUAAAACUUCUCAUAAAUAUUCAUUAUCAAUUAUCAACGUCCAUACAAAUUUAUACAUAUAAAUUUACGGAAAUUAUAACUCUGCAAUAGCAUUGAUAAAAAUCAAAACGGACCCGUUAAACAAGCUAUUAAUUAUUUCACCACAACACAUGUAAUUCGGUAAUUCAACAAAGUUUCAACAAUUUACUAACAAAUACAAUUUUAUAAAAUCUAAAACAAAUCAUAAUAAGUACAAAAUUAUACAUUCAUACUACAAAGUUUGUUUGAGAAAUAACAAUAAAACUUGUACAUACAUUAACAAAAUACAUAUACUAAAAAAACAAUAAAAUUGACAUUUAAAUGUUAAAUUUUUUUUAAAAAAAUUUACUUACAAAAAAUGAUAAAAUCCACACAAAAAAACACGGAUGUUGUGACCACGAAACUUAAAGAAAUAUGACUUGUGUUGAGAAGAGGGGGAUAUUUUUAGGGGGGUUGUUUGCAAUUUGGGAGGGAAGAGUUGGGAUGGGAAAGAAGAAGGCAAAAUAGAGAAGGAGAGGGUCGGUAGAGUGGUGAUAUAUUAACUUUUGCAGAUGAAAUCACUGACGGACUUAUUCUGUCGGUGAUUGCGUCGGUAAUUCUGACGGUGAAUUAGUCACGUCACUAUACGGAGAUCCCGGUUUGAAUCCUUCGGUGAGUCCAUCGGUAAAAUCACCCGCAAAAACUUUCACAUCAUCGAACCGUUUUUUUUUUUCAAAUUCUAUAUAUUCCGUCUGUAAUUCUAUCGGUAUAUACCAACUGAAUUACAAAUGGAAUAUUGGCUAUCAG